rnacentral:rRNA from 1 species
UGAGGAAUAUUGGUCAAUGGUCGGCAGACUGAACCAGCCAAGUCGCGUGAGGGAAGACGGCCCUACGGGUUGUAAACCUCUUUUGUCGGAGAGUAAAGUACGCUACGUGUAGCGUAUUGCAAGUAUCCGAAGAAAAAGCAUCGGCUAACUACGUGCCAGCAGCCGCGGUAAUACGUAGGAUGCGAGCGUUAUCCGGAUUUAUUGGGUUUAAAGGGUGCGCAGGCGGUACGGAAAGUCAGCGGUAAAAUUACGGAGCUCAACCCCGGCCUGCCGUUGAAACUGGCGGUCUUGAGUGAGCGAGAAGUAUGCGGAAUGCGUGGUGUAGCGGUGAAAUGCAUAGAUAUCACGCAGAACUCCGAUUGCGAAGGCAGCAUACCGGCGCUCAACUGACGCUGAGGCACGAAAGCGUGGGGAUCGAACAGGAUUAGAUACC